rnacentral:rRNA from 1 species
AAUAGAUACCCAGGUAGUCCUGGCAGUAAACGGUGCACGUUUGGUGUGGGAGGAAUCGACCCCUUCCGCGCCGGAGCUAACGCGUUAAACGUGCCGCCUGGGAAGUACGAUCGCAAGAUUAAAACUCAAAGAAAUUGACGGGGACCCGCACAAGCGGUGGAGUAUGUGGCUUAAUUCGAUGCAACGCGAAGAACCUUACCUGGGCUUGACAUGCUCUGUGUCGUCGGUGAAAGCCGGCUAGUGUAGCAAUACACGCUUUGCACAGGUGCUGCAUGGCUGUCGUCAGCUCGUGUCGUGAGAUGUUGGGUUAAGUCCCGCAACGAGUGCAACCCCUGUGAUUUGUUGCCACCGGAGCAAUCCGAGCACUCGAAUCAGACUGCCCAGAUCAACUGGGAGGAAGGUGGGGAUGACGUCAAGUCAGUAUGGCCCUUAGCCCAGGGCUGCACACGUACUACAAUGCUCAGUACAAUAUGAACCGAACCGCGAGGUGGAAGGAAAUCUCUAAAACUGGGCUCAGUUCG